CCUGCAGAAGGAGAGCUGCUCUGGCCUGGAGACCUGUGCAGACAGAAGGUGAAAGCAGGGUUAUGAGGGGGUGGUUUCUGCUGUCCUGCAGCUCCCAAGCUUGGUGCAUCCUGCUGAGAACUUUGAGUAAUUCAACAGUGACCUUUCCUUGAGCUGUCACCACUUAGGAACAGCUGUGGAGCAGAGCUACAUGGAUAUAGCCACAAGAGAAGAAAAGGAGGGGAAAGCCUGUGCAGCCGCGUCCCUGCCGCUGCCGGAGGAGGGAUGCUGCCUGCCCAGGGUGGGCAGCGGCGCCGGCACCUCCUCCAGGUGAUGCUUGAGGCACAGAAAAAUCUCCUCCUGCCGGCGCACAAUGGCCACAUUGUAAAUGCGUCCCUUCCCAUCGUGUAGGACGUUGGGAUCGUUAGUUUUGGCUGGAAAUAAAAUCUAUUUUACACGCGAAGCGCUCUGCUAGCGGGCAGCAAACCCGCGCUGCCGCUGGAAUGUUUCUCAUUAUAUUUCCCCUUUGUUCCUAAAAAAUGACUGAGUUAUUGCAUAAUGCGGGGAUCAAGGAAGAGGGAAAUCCAGCACGAGGAUGGAAACGAAGGCAGCCUGUCCGUUUAAAGCGCAAAUGAAUGCUCGGUUUCUUUUAUAAAGAAAUCCCGCUGCAGGACUAAUGGUCUGAAAAAAAAUCCCAUUCUGACAAGUAAAUAGUUUGUUUCCUCCCCAUUUCAAACAGCCUUGAGAAAUCUCCAGCACCUAGUCAGAGGAUUUAUUUAGGUUUUCUCGAUUCUUGCGUUUUGCCCCGAAUUUUGCGUGCGUGCAUUUUAUUAGGUUAAUAAAACUCGAUUUCCAAGCUUU